CAUUCUGAGUCCCGUCAGUCCUGUUGCGUACCUUUGUCAGCCACCUGGAUGAGGGGAUCGGGCGUUGCCUCGGUCAGUUUGCAGAGGACACGGAGCUGGGCGGAUAGGUCGCUCUGCCAGAGGGUAGGGAGGCUCCGCAGAGGGGAGUUUUUCUGUUUACAGGAACACCAAGGAUGACACAGCAACUAGCGGUGACUGUGCAACAGAGGAGACUGGCAGAGGUUGACAGGUUUCAAGUGAAGACGGGAAUCCUGUUUCACAAUCAAAAAGAGCAGAACUUCGAUGAACUUUCCGUGCCUUGAAAAAUCUAUCGGGCUCGAUGAUGUCAUGUUACAGUGCUAACAGAGAGCACACAGCUCAGCGUUCCAGCUCACUCUGAAUGAAAAUCCCAACCAGAAUUCAGGAUUGGAUGCAGCAGUACAGAUGCAACAGUACUCAUUGAGCUUGUCUUGCUGCCAUCGUGUCUGAAGAUCAAAUAGCUACCUAGGCUUUUUUUCAACAUGAGAAGCUAUGCUUUUGCUCAAACCUGCCCUGGCUGCCUGGAAUGAGGAAAAGGACAUUUCACAGAGAUGGAGGUGAAGGCAAGAUCUGAGCAAAUCAAAGUUGAAUUUAAGAAAGAAGAAUAUGGAGCUGGAAAAUUCACGAUGUGCUCUUGGAAAAGGGAUGAUCAGUGAUUAGGAGAGGAGCUAGUUUUCAAGAAAACUGAAGAGGUGACCCAGAUGAGCAAAGAUUAGGAUAAAAGAUUUCAUUUGUAUAAACACUUCGGGAGAGUUUCGUCUUGAGUGAAGGCAAAGCAAAAGUUGCAUGAUGAGACAUUUCUCAGCCAUGACUUCUGAACACUUACAGCCUUAGUGUGCUCCUAAGACACAGAGCCUUCUAAGAUCCAAGGAUGUCAUCUUACCUGUCUUUAACACUUUUUUUUGGAAGCAUCUAAAGAAAAACGUGAAACUGCCAUGGGCUGUGGAAGCAGAAAGCUAUUAAGAAUGCAAGGGCCUGCUGGCAUUGUAGAAAAAUCCAUUUCAUAGUUGUAUGGUUGCAUACGGUUUCCAAGGGACUGCUGGAUGUUUGCCUUUGAUGCGUGGAGCCUAAGUACAUCAGAGAGUAAUCUCUUUUUCUGAUGUGAGAACAUGGAGCUGCCACUGAAAACUGAAUCUCAGUCAAAGCAGGGAAGGUUGGCCUCUUUACAUUGGAAGAUCUCUAUCUGGGGUGUAUGCAUUUCAGAGCCUUCCCGCCUGUUUUUGAUGAGCUGCGUGAAAUAUAUCACACUAAAUCCUUUGGACAAUGUUCCUCACAAGAAAAGAGGGAAAGGAACAGUGCAUACCGAGAAGAUGGAGGCAAGAUGGAAAUGGGAGCAUUUCACCCAGCCUUAUUUUGGAAUUCCAAGGGCUUAAUCAGCUGUUGGGAAAAAUCACAUCGUCCAAGGUGCAGCUGCAGAGUCUCCACCCUUUCGGCUGGAUAUAGGAAAAGGCUGCUUCGCCUCUUUACUGUCUUCUCAAAAGUAAUUUGCUGCUUGUGAUCUGGUGUAACCGCUGCCCAUGGAACCCCCAGCGCCUUUCCUCUCUGGAGUGGCUUCCUCCAUGCAGGACUUACCACAACAGACCCCACAUCAGAUGCUGCUGGUGGAGAUGGCAGAGGAUGGCACAAAUGAAGACAAGGAGGACUCGGGGUCCUGCUUCUUUCCAUGUCCCUGUGGCAAAGGGAGAGCGAUCGCCCUUGUGCGAGUUGGCAAUCAACUACAGAUACUUGCAGAAAUGAAGCUGUUGGUCCCAGGUUCAUCCUGUCUCACCGUGGCGCUGGGCUCAGCUCCUCCAGGAUGGACAUUCAGAAAAUGGACAGAAUAUUGAUUUGCAGGGGGCCGGAAACAAACCUGCCCAGGCAGGAGUCAGACCUCUGGAGCUACGGUGUCCUUAUGGAAGGAGAAAUGAUGCUCGCAAAGAAUGUAUGCCUACAGCAUCAGCUGGUGACCAAGACAGUGGACCACUGCCAAAGUGGUCCAUGCCCACCAGCCUCCAGUCUGCUGCUGCUGAUGUCAAUGACUACCAAAGAGUGAAGUCUGAGGCCCUGUGCAAGACAGCAAUCAAAUCCUACCAGUUCAGCAGCGCGUGUCCACCACACAGAGGGUGAGCGUGAUCAGAGCAUGUUAGCACUGAAAUAACAACUCAAAAGAGUUUUGUCUUAAUAAGAAAUUUUAAAUGUGAGAAUAGUCUACCAUGGGAUGAAGGCACAUGGUUGAAAACAUGCAGAAUGGGGGUAAUCCAGAGGAAACAGUAGUAAAUUGUGUGUAUGUCCUGAACUUCUUGCUACGAGGGAUUUGGGGAUAUGAGACAUUCUCAAGGUACUUGUCAUUCUACCAUCUCUUUAAAAGUAUUUGGGAGUUGGCCAAUUUUAAGUUUUGGAAGCUGAAAGCAAGCCUUCCCUGAAGGCAGGGUGACUCACAAAGAACUGCUGCAGGAUUGCUCUGCACCCUCUAGUACAGCAGUCUUGAGAAAGCAUCCCACAACACACAAAUCAGAUUUUUACCAAUGUGUUUGUGGAAAAAGGGUCAAGUAAGAUUGGAAAGUUUGUAAGUAUGGAAAUGGUAGAAUAAUCUUCUGUGAAAAUUGCAUAGUUUGACAAAAAAAUAACAGCUUUAAAGUGUUUCUUUUUUUUUUUUUUAUUUGAGGAGAGAAAAAGCCACAGUCAAAAUGUCUGUUUCAGAAUGGCCACCGAACGCACAAGGAAGACACCACCUUUCUCCAUGCUUCCACCUGAAAGGUGGCGAAGAUCUCUCCAAUAAUGCCAUAUACCAUCAUCCAUCACGACAGAUUCAAGGUGGAGAAGGAAGAACUAACUCUUCCUCCUGGAAGCCAGAAGAGUUUAUAAGAAAGAAGAUGAAGUGGAAAACCUUGUGUCCCUCUUCUGGAUGACAGCAAGAGCAUUACCAAACAUGCCAUGUCAAAAAUACUCCAGGUAGUGAGGUGACAGUCAGCUCCUUCAUAUCUAUUUCAAGCAUUUUCAGAUCACUGGCUGUGCACGUUGUCCUUGUACUUGAGGAGGAUAUUUCACUGAAGAAAUGAGAACAGAUGAACUACGAACUUGCACAGAAAAAUCACACACGUUUUAGAUGUCAAUCUCCAAUUAUCAGUGACCGAAAGAGCAAAGGACACCACUCCAGUGCCAUGCUCAAUAUUCCUCCCAGUUGUAAUACGGGCGUGGAUGUACGUUGGCACUGGCCCAAACUGCCUUAAAGGACACUUAAACCAUUUCGGAUACAAAGCUUUCACAGCUUGCUUCUUAACUUGCUUACAGGAUCCGAGAUAAUACCUACGGUGCAGCAAUACUUCAGUGCCAGGGAGAGCAUUUGUGCACGGAUCCUGUCCUGUCCAGAGCACUGGAAACGUCACAGCAGUGUGAUUGGAAGAGUCCCAC